rnacentral:SRP_RNA from 1 species
GCCGGGCGAGGUGGCGCAUGCCUGUAAUCCCAGCAGCUCAGGGGCCGAGAUGGGAAGAUCGGGAGUCCAAAGCCAGCCUCUC